rnacentral:rRNA from 1 species
ACUCCUACGGGAGGCAGCAGUAGGGAAUCUUCCACAAUGGGCGAAAGCCUGAUGGAGCAAUGCCGCGUGAGUGAAGAAGGUUUUCGGAUCGUAAAACUCUGUUGUUGAAGAAGAACAUGCGUGAGAGUAACUGUUCACGUACUGACGGUAUUCAACCAGAAAGCCACGGCUAACUACGUGCCAGCAGCCGCGGUAAUACGUAGGUGGCAAGCGUUGUCCGGAUUUAUUGGGGCGUAAAGAGAAUGUAGGCGGUUUUAUUAAGUUUGAAGUGAAAGCCCUCGGCUCAACCGAGGAAGUGCUUCGAAAACUGGUAAACUUGAGUGCAGAAGAGGAAAGUGGAACUCCAUGUGUAGCGGUGGAAUGCGUAGAUAUAUGGAAGAACACCAGUGGCGAAGGCGGCUUUCUGGUCUGUAACUGACGCUGAGAUUCGAAAGCAUGGGUAGCAAACAGGAUUAGAUACCCUGGUAGGAUAGCG